GUCUACGGCCAUGCCACCCUGAACAAGCCUGAUCCCGUCUGAUCUUGGAAGCUAAGCAGGGUCGAACCUGGUUAGUACUUGGAUGGGAGACCACUUAGGAAGACCAGGUGCUGUAAGAG
rnacentral:rRNA from 1 species